rnacentral:rRNA from 1 species
UAGUGCUUGCCUAAAUGAAACUAGAUACAAGCGAGCGGCGGACGGGUGAGUAACACGUGGGUAACCUGCCCAAGAGACUGGGAUAACACCUGGAAACAGAUGCUAAUACCGGAUAACAACACUAGACGCAUGUCUAGAGUUUGAAAGAUGGUUCUGCUAUCACUCUUGGAUGGACCUGCGGUGCAUUAGCUAGUUGGUAAGGUAACGGCUUACCAAGGCAAUGAUGCAUAGCCGAGUUGAGAGACUGAUCGGCCACAUUGGGACUGAGACACGGCCCAAACUCCUACGGGAGGCAGCAGUAGGGAAUCUUCCACAAUGGACGAAAGUCUGAUGGAGCAACGCCGCGUGAGUGAAGAAGGGUUUCGGCUCGUAAAGCUCUGUUGGUAGUGAAGAAAGAUAGAGGUAGUAACUGGCCUUUAUUUGACGGUAAUUACUUAGAAAGUCACGGCUAACUACGUGCCAGCAGCCGCGGCAAUACGUAGGUGGCAAGCGUUGUCCGGAUUUAUUGGGCGUAAAGCGAGUGCAGGCGGUUCAAUAAGUCUGAUGUGAAAGCCUUCGGCUCAACCGGAGAAUUGCAUCAGAAACUGUUGAACUUGAGUGCAGAAGAGGAGAGUGGAACUCCAUGUGUAGCGGUGGAAUGCGUAGAUAUAUGGAAGAACACCAGUGGCGAAGGCGGCUCUCUGGUCUGCAACUGACGCUGAGGCUCGAAAAGCAUGGGUAGCGAACAGGAUUAGAUACCCUGGUAGUCCAUGCCGUAAACGAUGAGUGCUAAGUGUUGGGGAGGUUUCCGCCUCUCAGUGCU